UACGAAGGGGGCUAGCGUUGUUCGGAUUUACUGGGCGUAAAGCGCACGUAGGCGGAUCGUUAAGUCGGGGGUGAAAUCCUGGAGCUCAACUCCAGAACUGCCUUCGAUACUGGCGAUCUAGAGUCCGGAAGAGGUGAGUGGAACUCCUAGUGUAGAGGUGGAAUUCGUAGAUAUUAGGAAGAACACCAGUGGCGAAGGCGGCUCACUGGCCCGAUACUGACGCUGAGGCACGAAAGCGUGGGGAGCAAACAGG
rnacentral:rRNA from 1 species